rnacentral:rRNA from 1 species
UACGUAGGGCGCAAGCGUUGUCCGGAAUUAUUGGGCGUAAAGAGCUCGUAGGCGGUUUGUCGCGUCGGAUGUGAAAGCCCGGGGCUUAACUGUGGGUCUGCGGUGGAUACGGGCUGGCUAGAGGUAGGUAGGGGCAAGCGGAAUUCCUGGUGUAGCGGUGAAAUGCGCAGAUAUCAGGAGGAACACCGGUGGCGAAGGCGGCUUGCUGGGCCUUACCUGACGCUGAGGAGCGAAAGCGUGGGGAGCGAACAGG